rnacentral:rRNA from 1 species
GACGAACGCUGGCGGCGUGCUUAACACAUGCAAGUCGAACGGAAAGGCCCUGCUUUUGUGGGGUGCUCGAGUGGCGAACGGGUGAGUAACACGUGAGUAACCUGCACUUGACUUUGGGAUAACUUCAGGAAACUGGGGCUAAUACCGGAUAGGAGCUCCUGCUGCAUGGUGGGGGUUGGAAAGUUUCGGCCGUUGGGGAUGGACUCGCGGCUUAUCAGCUUGUUGGUGGGGUAGUGGCUUACCAAGGCUUUGACGGGUAGCCGGCCUGAGAGGGUGACCGGCCACAUUGGGACUGAGAUACGGCCCAGACUCCUACGGGAGGCAGCAGUGGGGAAUAUUUCACCAUGGGCGGAAGCCUGAUGCAGCAACGCCGCGUGCGGGAUGACGGCCUUCUGGUUGUAAACCGCUUUCGCCUGUGACGAAGCGUGAGUGACGGUAAUGGGUAAAGAAGCACCGGCUAACUACGUG